rnacentral:rRNA from 1 species
UACGGGGGGAGCAAGCGUUGUUCGGAUUUACCGGGCGUAAAGGGCGCGUAGGCGGCGUAACAAGUCACUUGUGAAAUCUCCGGGCUUAACCCGGAGCGGCCAAGUGAUACUGUUGUGCUAGAGUGCGGAAGGGGCUGCUGGAAUUCCUGGUGUAGCGGUGAAAUGCGCAGAUAUCAGGAGGAACACCAAUGGCGAAGGCAGCUCGCUGGAACGGUACUGACGCUGAGGCGCGAAAGCGUGGGGAGCGAACAGG